GUUUGAUCAUGUCUCAGAUUGAACGCUGGCGGCAGGCCUAACACAUGCAAGUCGAGCGCGAAAGGUCUUCGGACUGAGUAGAGCGGCGGACGGGUGAGUAACGCGUAGGAAUCUACCUGGUAGUGGGGGACAACUCGGGGAAACUCGAGCUAAUACCGCAUACGCCCUACGGGGGAAAGGUGGCCUCUAUUUAUAAGCUAUCGCUAUUGGAUGAGCCUGCGUUGGAUUAGCUAGUUGGUAGGGUAAGAGCCUACCAAGGCGACGAUCCAUAGCUGGUCUGAGAGGAUGAUCAGCCACACUGGGACUGAGACACGGCCCAGACUCCUACGGGAGGCAGCAGUGGGGAAUAUUGCACAAUGGGCGCAAGCCUGAUGCAGCGACGCCGCGUGGGGGAUGACGGCCUUCGGGUUGUAAACUCCUUUCGCUAGGGACGAAGCUUUUUGUGACGGUACCUAGAUAAGAAGCACCGGCUAACUACGUGCCAGCAGCCGCGGUAAUACGUAGGGUGCGAGCGUUGUCCGGAAUUACUGGGCGUAAAGAGCUCGUAGGUGGUUUGUCGCGUCGUUUGUGUAAGCCCGCAGCUUAACUGCGGGACUGCAGGCGAUACGGGCAUAACUUGAGUGCUGUAGGGGAGACUGGAAUUCCUGGUGUAGCGGUGGAAUGCGCAGAUAUCAGGAGGAACACCGAUGGCGAAGGCAGGUCUCUGGGCAGUAACUGACGCUGAGGAGCGAAAGCAUGGGGAGCGAACAGGAUUAGAUACCCUGGUAGUCCACGCCGUAAACGAUGUCGACUAGCCGUUGGGAUCCUUGAGAUCUUAGUGGCGCAGCUAACGCAUUAAGUCGACCGCCUGGGGAGUACGGCCGCAAGGUUAAAACUCAAAUGAAUUGACGGGGGCCCGCACAAGCGGUGGAGCAUGUG
rnacentral:rRNA from 1 species